GCAGUGGAGAUCAGCGACAUGAAACUUCUCCUAUCCAUAACGAAUAUAGAAAGAGUUAAACAAAGUGUUCAGGAUAAACAGCCUGUUGGCCAUGCUGAUCAAUCGGUUGAUGUAGCUCUACCCGAUGGCACUGUUGAAGUAACCCUACAACAUCUAGCCCGUGCCGGGACACCUCAAGUGGAAGUUGGGCUCGAUACGCUGUUCACCGUAACAGCAGUUGGCGUACCGAUUGCUACCUUGAGGAAGCUGGUGGGCCUUGUUAUCGAAGAGCUCGCGUAGCCCUUUGUUGCUCGCCACCGGCGCCACUGGGAGCGGCAUGCUGCUGCUGCUGCUGUGCAUUGAGGCGACCAUCAGCGUGGUGCUGUGGGACCACGUGGCGGGCCUUCUUGAGGGUCCGCGUGAGGACUACCUGCACUCCGUCAACGUCAUGAUCAAGCAGCACACACAGACGACGGCCGUGCUCUUCCUGUACAGUCGCGAUCAAUUUGAAGGUGAUCGCUCGAGCGGCGACCAUAACUAGGAGCAGCGCCACGUUACGUCAUCACCGUUGGUCGAGAGGGAAACAUCAGAUAGCUCCCCUCUCUCUCUUUCGGUGUUCCCUGAAAAGCUGUCACUCCCGUCACCGUUCAUGGCAUAACCUGCGAAUUCAUUUCGAUUGCGUUAUGAGCUUUUGCACAGAGGCGUCAUUGUCAGCCAAGAUAUGCAUGAGGAAGCGACGCACACAGAUCAUUGCCAUGAAAGGGAAACAAACACAAGAAUGUGGCGAGUUGGCCUUGGGGGGUGAUGGUUGCAGCCUGGAAGAGCAUAAUAGGGGAAGAAGGCCACGCAAUUUUUAUCUUCGCAGUUCCGAAAUCGGCCGCUAUGCUGCUUGGAAGGCCCGCCAGUCGAUGCUCGCGCGAUCAACUUCAAAUUGAUCGCGACUGUACCUGCCGCCACCCCCGCCCCCAUCGGACGAUGGCGACGCCCAGCGCCUCGCCUAUCUCAACCAGUUGGACCUCCUCACGUCAGGAAUCCACCCAAAGUUGGAUGUGUAUGGUAUCAUGCCCGUCACUUCCACCACCCUCUGAACAAUUGGUGGCGAGUGAAGGGCACGUGAGAGACAAGUGCUAGUGGCCAUGGUAGCCCUGGGAACUAAGAGCAGAGACGUCAUUCGUUAUCUGCGUGGCUGUCACAUUUCAAAGACUGUGUGAACCUUUGUGCAGAGAGACUGCUUCAUUCAUAGUGUGCAUGCAUGGUCAAACCCUAUUAAGUACUGUUCAGGUGUCAGAGAAAGCCUGUUAUUGUGAAGAUCGAAGGAAGGUGAGAACAGUGGAUGCCUCUUUAUUUUUGUGUGCCAGUUGUGGGUAUGUGAAGACUCAGCAAGUUGAGAGAGCCAUUUUUGUUUAAACACUGUCCAUUUAUGCUUUGCAUGUGCUGUUUUGAAAUGGGAAUGUGUCUUUUUGAGAUAGUGUGAAGCUGAUAAACCAAUCACUCUUUGAAGAAAUUUGCUUUGCUUGCAUCUAUUCAACGAGCAGCUCCCGCUAAGGAGACUUCACGUUUGCUGCACCAGGUUCAAGAGUUUUGUGAGCAGUUUCGUAAGGCUCGCUGUGUGUUUGCGUCCAUACAUAUUUUGGAACCAAGAAAGGCACCCGUUCGAGGCUCCAUUGAUGACUCAUAUACGCCGCCUUCUGUGAAAUUUUUGCAAAGCAUAGGUGCAAAUACUUCUGGCUUUCAUUGCAUCACUUUUGAUGUAGGGCAGUUUACACUGAUAGCAUACCCAAAUGCUUCCAUAAGAAAAGCUGCAAUAAUUUGGUGUGUUCUAAGUACAGCGAAUGCGCAUUAUUGCAUUUCAUUUGUUGGGGACUGUGCAUUACCUAGCAAUACUUUGGGGACGGGGGGAGGAGGCUAGGUAAAGCAUGGUUGCGUGCAGGUGGUACAUCGUUAAUUGGCGCACUUUCGUUUCCCUAACUUAGUGGUGCUCUCUUUAACCUAGUGCUUUCUUCAUCUAUGUCAACUAUAUACUCUGGAGCCAUCUCCUUGCAGAUACCGCAGCACAGCUUUUGUGCAUUGUGCUGUGAUGUGAUUUUUGGGAGGCAUAUCAUGGAUUGAGUGCAUUUCCUUUUUUGCAUCUAAAACACCGAGUCACUCACUUCCUGUGCUGCAACAGUAGUACUAUUGGUGAUGGAAAAACUUUCCUUCUCGGGCUUUUAGUCCUGGUGAGAUGUGGUCGUGGAUCUCGGCUGCGAUUCCUUUCCCAUUGCCCUUUCUAAAUGAUUUUACUUGUUUUAAUUCGUUGCACUUAUUUUCUUCUUUGAAAUGGUCAUCUGCGCUUCGCUGAUUUAAAUAAGUGUGUGACUGUGGGUGCGAAUGAAAAAGAAGUUAUCAUAUGAUUAGUGCAAAACUGGCACGGGACAAAUUAGGAGAACAAAAAAAGAAAUAAGUGUGUGAUUCUCCUGGUCAUCUUUAGUAUUUAAAAUUUUCAAACUAGUUCUUUUUUCUUUGUUUUGUGAGGUUGACUGCUGUAUUACACUUUACAUUGAUUCGUU